GUCAAAGCGUUCAUUAAAGUCGAGUUGGCUUAGGGAUACGUUCGUUGGGUAGGGGAGCGUUCUGUAAGCCUGUGAAGGUGUGUCGUGAGGCAUGCUGGAGGUAUCAGAAGUGCGAAUGCUGACAUAAGUAACGAUAAAGCGGGUGAAAAGCCCGCUCGCCGGAAGACCAAGGGUUCCUGUCCAACGUUAAUCGGGGCAGGGUGAGUCGACCCCUAAGGCGAGGCCGAAAGGCGUAGUCGAUGGGAAACGGGUUAAUAUUCCCGUACUUGGUGUUACUGCGAAGGGGGGACGGAGAAGGCUAUGUUGGCCGGGCGACGGUUGUCCCGGUUUAAGCGUGUAGGUGUGUGUUCCAGGUAAAUCCGGUUCACUUUAACACUGAGGCGUGAUGACGAGGCACUACGGUGCUGAAGCAACAAAUGCCCUGCUUCCAGGAAAAGCCUCUAAGCAUCAGGUAACAUCAAAUCGUACCCCAAACCGACACAGGUGGUCAGGUAGAGAAUACCAAGGCGCUUGAGAGAACUCGGGUGAAGGAACUAGGCAAAAUGGUGCCGUAACUUCGGGAGAAGGCACGCUGACACGUAG
rnacentral:rRNA from 1 species